rnacentral:rRNA from 1 species
CCUACGGGUGGCUGCAGUGAGGAAUAUUGGUCAAUGGGCGGGAGUCUGAACCAGCCAAGUCGCGUGAGGGACGACGGUCCUAUGGAUUGUACACCUCUUUUGUCGGGGAAUAAAGUCGUCCACGCGUGGGCUGAUGAAUGUACCCUAAGAAUAAGCAUCGGCUAACUCCGUGCCAGCAGCCGCGGUAAUACGGAGGAUGCGAGCGUUAUCCGGAUUUAUUGGGUUUAAAGGGUGCGUAGGCGGACUGUAAAGUCAGUGGUAAAAGUGCGGUGCUAAACGCCGUAUAGCCGUUGAAACUGGCAGUCUUGAGUGGGCGAGAAGUAUGCGGAAUGCGUGGUGUAGCGGUGGAAUGCAUAGAUAUCACGAAGAACUCCGAUUGCGAAGGCAGCAUACCGGCGUCCUACUGACGCUGAGGCACGAAAGCGUGGGUAUCGAACAGGAUUAGAUACCCUAGUAGUC